GUGGGGAUGGCGCAGUGGUAGUUUCGCGAGAGAUUGCAAAUCUCUAGGUCGUGGGUUCGACCCCCACUCUCCACU
rnacentral:tRNA from 2 species